rnacentral:lncRNA from 1 species
UUUUGACAGAUAACCAACAUAUCUGCAACUUUUUUUCAGAUACUGUAGACCUUGUUGCAGUUAUGCUGCAGUACUGCAAACGGCUGAGAGCUCUGUUUGCCAUCUAAUAAAUGGUGGUCCACCGGCAGUUAUCAGAUAAGUGUCAGCAAUUCUCAAAUGGACCUUUCACCUUUUGAAGUUGUGGUAAAUUCCAAGAAUGUUUUGCUAUCUUGUUGUAAAUUUUAUGUAUAAAUAGAAUACCAACACGAAUAUUUACGAGUUUCCUGGAAUAGUACUUGAUUUAGUACAGACGUAAAUUAAUGGUUUAGAAAUUUUGGAAUGGUAUGAAACUUUUUACAAUCUUCGAGUAAGUUUUAAAUCAAAUACGGUAAACUAUCUAAACUCCAAGAGGUUUUACCAGCGAAAAAAAUGCCCGUGAUGGUUAUCCAUUAUGACCUAUCACACACAUCCGGCCUAAAAUGAGAUAUUUAAUUUAAUGAACAUUUAAUUUCAUAUGCAUAAGUAUAUAUGUAAUGCACGAAAGAUAUGUUACUUUUAAAGUAUAUGCUACAUCUAUAUUAUAUAUACAUCGAUCUAUUUAUUGUGUGUUUAAAUCCUGGAAUCAACACACUAAACCUUACGAUUCUAUGCUCUAAUAAAAUCUUUGGGGAAAUAUAUAAUCAACGGGCUUAAGGCUUGGAAGUGCUUAGGUCACCUAAUUUUCAAACAAUGAAUUGACCCCAAGGUAUCCUACAAUGCACUGUGCAUUCCAGACGUCCCCCGUAUUCAAAAUUGCGUGACGUAAGCACUUCCAAGGUCUAUUUAACCUAAAAUUGAUGUACAAUGUUCAUUACGGUCAUUACGAUUUACAAAUUUUGUGAAUACAUGAUCACGUACGCAGUUUUGCUGAAAAUGUACAUUUUGAUUCACUAAAUGUUAGAUAGUGCUCAACAGCAUAAAAUAGAUCAAACAGUAGGUUGGCUUACGACAAAAUGUAGAGUAGCCUUAAUUCUCUCGCCUGAAAACCCAACCCGAAACGACUGCAUGGUUGCUAGCCUGCGUCACAGAAUAUAGACCUUAUAGAAGGCCGACUCAGCCAAAGCGUAACCUCCGCCACGUCACGUCAUGACGGUCAUCAAAAUGCACUGGCCAUGUUUCUAACCAGUGCGCUUACGAGAGGCAUUCACCCCCCUGAACGUCUGCCAUUUUGAAUCUUUUCAACGGUCACGGCAAAAUAUUACCAUCAAAAUAUAGGCAAAAGCAUAAGUCGGCCUUAAUUCUGCGAGUCCCAUAAGGUCUCUAUUCUAUUGGUAUCCAACGCUGCCAACCUAUACCAUAUUUGCACUAUCAUGCAUUAUUUAUUUAUUUAUUUACACUUUGUCUCUCAGGCUUGGAGCCCGCAACAGCUAAGGCUAUUUGCUGCGGGUCCAUUACAUGUAUUACAUCGUACUAAAUAUCGUACGAACUGAAAACAAAUACGCUUAAGUACUAGCAAAGUUAUUAACGACUAUAUACAAACCAGGAGACUACACUUAAUGUGAACUGUCUUCCAUGUUCUGCAUGGUAAUAUUCUCUCAAUAAAGAUUUGAAAGAAGACAGAGACAUUGUGUUUCUUCGUAUAUCUUUAGUCGGCACAUUCCAUACUCUUUUUGACCGAACUAAGUAAGACCUAGCAUUCAGAUAAUAGUGAGGUUAAGAUACCCCGGUUCCGGUUUACGGGUACGACUUGCAACUUAAGAAAUCCAAGAUAUUCCGGGGUACGAAAACUGAUCGGAGAAUGCUAACUUUCGUUGUUGAGCUUCACCAUAGAUUUGGGAAAACCGACGAGCAUAUAUGCAUUGAUUUAUUUAGGUAAGAUGUUGAAGUAUUUCACUACUUAAAUGGCCUACAAAUAGCAAGCACUAAACACCAGUAUCCGCUUCUCUUUUACGUGUAGACCAUGGUUUACCGCGGGGAAACGGGUAAAAAUUUAAACAUGCUGACAUACUGGUAAACAAAAUGGUGAUGUUCGUACCUGUAGAACGGAACUGGGGUAUCUUAAUCUCUCUAUUAUAUA